AAAAUAUAAGGAAAGCCAUGAGAUUCAUGCGUUAAGCUAACGAACACAAACUGCACAAUCGCUGCAAAAAUUUUGACCCACCUCAGCCUUCCAAACGAAAACCAACCCUAAUUCCCGUCUCUUCAAUUUAUGAUCUUUUAAUUGCCCCAUUCCCACCUUCAGGUCCCAAUUUCACCAACUUCUCUUCGUUCCAGCUUCGGCGGCUGUUCUCUAAUACAAGGAAUUUCUUGGUCAAGAUGACUUCUGUUUGCCCAUUCACUAAAGCUGCACACCCAGAUGAUACCUGUCCAAGGAAUUCUGGGGAAAGCCAUAACAGACACCAGACAGAGAAUGGAAGCAAGGUUAACAAGGAAACUGAUGAUUCGACUAUAUAUAGUGCCUCCCAAGUGCCCAUUUGGAUAUGAUUCUCACACAUUUAAGUUGGGCCCUCUCAGCUGCAUUAUUUGCCAAGCCCUUCUCUUUGAAAGUAGCAAAUGUGUUCCUUGUUCUCAUAAGUAUUGCAGAUCAUGUAUAUCUCAA